rnacentral:rRNA from 1 species
AUACGGAGAGGGCUAGCGUUAUUCGGAAUUAUUGGGCGUAAAGGGCGCGUAGGCUGGUUAAUAAGUUAAAAGUGAAAUCCCGAGGCUUAACCUUGGAAUUGCUUUUAAAACUAUUAAUCUAGAGAUUGAAAGAGGAUAGAGGAAUUCCUGAUGUAGAGGUAAAAUUCGUAAAUAUUAGGAGGAACACCAGUGGCGAAGGCGUCUAUCUGGUUCAAAUCUGACGCUGAAGCGCGAAGGCGUGGGGAGCAAACAGGAUUAGAUACCCUGGUAGUCCACGCUGUAAACGAUGAAUGUUAAAUAUGGGAAGUUUACUUUCUGUAUUACAGCUAACGCGUUAAACAUUCCGCCUGGGGACUACGGUCGCAAGAUUAAAACUCAAAGGAAUUGACGGGGACCCGCACAAGCGGUGGAGCAUGUGGUUUAAUUCGAUGCAACGCGAAAAACCUUACCACUUCUUG